CUGUCCGUAGCUCAGUGGAUAGAGCAAUACGCUCCGACCGUAUGUGCGCAGGUUCAAUUCCUGUCGGACAGACCA
rnacentral:tRNA from 2 species